AUUAGAUUGGGCUGAUGUUCUUUGGGGAGGAAGAUCACAGAGGUGAUGUGCCAUUGUUAUAUCAUAUCAAGGGUAUGUGCCAUGGAAAUGCCCUAUUCCUAAUGAUGUUAAUAUUCAUAACCUGGUUAAAAUAGUGGUUGCUUGGUUUCUCUACUAUAAAAUUAUCUCCUACACCCACACCACACAUACAGCUUUCAAAACUCUUUAGAAGCAAGUCACUAAGCAUAGGCAAUAUUUAGAGAUAGUUGAAUACUUGUAGGGAGUAGGAUGUACAUAAAUUACUGGAAAUUUUUCUGUAUACCAGAUAUGCCUAAUCUACCCCAUUUAAUUAUUUAUUAAAUCAUUUAUUUAUAUUGGUGACUUAUGACUACUUAAGUUAUACUUUGGCUUAUAAUCUAAAACUACAUAAUUUGUAAUUUUGUUCAAAUCAUUAAAACUCUGACAUUUUAGAGGUCUUCUAGGUUGGGUCCUGUGUGCCUUUUUCAUAAUACUUUCAUUUUUGAAGUAGUUAGGCUAGCUCUCAGCAUGACUUUUCAUUGUUUACUUUUUCUUGGGGUUAAUUGAGUUUCUUGGGUUUGUGAGUUAGUAGUUUCCUAGAGACACUGUAACAAAUUGUCAGAAUUUGGGUGGUUUAAAACAACAUAAAUUUAUUAUCUCACAGUGACAGGGCAAAGAAAUUUAAACUCAGGGUGUCAGCAUGACCAACUCCCCCCUGAAAGGCCUAGGGAAGUGUCCCUCCUUGCUUUGUCUAGGUUCAGGUGGUUGCCUUGAGUCACUCCAGUUUCUCCCUCUGCUUUCAUAUGGCCUUCAUACCUGAAUAUAUGUCCAAUUUUUUCUAUCUUUAUAAAAACACAGGUAAUUGAAUUAGAUAGCCUAAUCCAGAAUGAUCUCAUCUUGAUUAACUACAUUACAAAUUUUCUGUUUGUAAGUAAGGUCACAAUCAGGAUUAAGAUGGACUCAACUUUGGUGCAUGUGUUGAGAGGAGGAUAGCAAAUUAUUCAAGUCAUUGGAGUUAGUAUUAUAGCUUUCAUUAAACUUGGAAAAUGUUUUGCCAAAUGUUUUUCUUCUAGUAUUUUUUCUUCAUCUCCCCCUUCUGGAAUAUUAUUAUACAAAUGUUAAGCUAUUUUAUAUACUCUCAGGUCAUUGAUACUCUGAUCUUUUAUUUUCCUUUUUUCUUUCUGUGAAUCAUUAUAUUUUUAUAUCUUUAAGAUCACCAACCUUAUCUUUUACAGUGGCUAAUCUGAUUUUAAUCCCAUUUAGUGUUUUUGUUUGUUUGUAUUUUCACAUUUCAAGUAUUCCAGCUCUAAAAUUUUCAUUUCAACCUUUGAAAAUAUUUUCCAUUUCUUUUCUUAUGAUGCUUAUUUUAUGCAUUGAUUUCCUUAAAUCCAUUAAAUAUAUUUAUAAGGCCAUUUCAAUGUCUUUGUCUCCUAAUUCUGUCAUCUCUGCUCUUUGAGAUCUGCUUCUAUUGUUUUAUUUUUUUCUUCUGGUUUUGAAUCAAUUUUCUUCCUUUGCAAAAGCUUUAUUUUUAUUGAAUGAUAGAUAUUGUGAUUUUUUUUUGUUUUGUUUUUGCUGUUUACUGGGUUUGGUUCUGUCCCUUGAAAUCAUGUUGGAUUUUGUUCUGGUGUAAAGUCAAUUUAGGAUCAGUUGCAUUCUUUCAAGUCUUUUGUUUUGAACUUUGUUAGGGCACAUUCAGAGCAGCCUUGAGUUAGAGGCAAUGUAGCACCAGAACUAAGAUAGUACUAAUCUGUAGACUCUACUUGAUGCCUUCAUAUUAUGAGGCUUUAACAGUGGCUGGUAGGACAUAAGCUAUUCUUGGCCCUGUGUGAAUCCUAGAAUUUGUUUCAAAUUUUCAAUUGCUUUCUAAAACUCAUCCUUGGCUUCUUAAAAAUUAUGCAGACAUUUAAAUAAAGUCAAAUACAGAAUACAAAACUCUUGAUAAAUGUGAUUUCCAAUUCACCUUCCAAUGUAAGUAUUCAUAGGAUAACCAGUCUUCAAAAAGUUUAUGAAGCCAUAGAAUUAUAGUCCAAAAAAAACUUUCUCCAUGUGUUUGGUCCAACUCAACAUCUAUGGUGCUUUAGUUUCUUCUAUGGCAGUCACAUCAACUGUCAUCUAGUCUUAAGUUAAGCAUCCCAGUGAUAGAAAUCCCUAAAGAUAUUUGAAUUAAGUUAUUAGAAUCCUUGUGAGUCAUCUCUUUGCCAUGGUAUAUUUGUCUUUCCUCAGCUUUUACAUGCGACAUAAUAUUGAGCCCUGUUACAACAAAUGAUGGGAUUCUCCAAUUGUCUUUGAACUUACAUCAUCAAUUCUGCAUACAUAGUGCUAUCUUGUUAAUUAAUUAUUGCCCAGGAGCUCUUUUUUCUUUAUAUAUAUGCACCUCUGAUCUUCUACUUACUAACAUCCUAUUCUAUACACAUAUCCCUCCACCUCCCUUCAUCAAGACUGAUCUAUAUCUUCUCUCAUAACCUGGACCUCUGAGAUACAAGUGUUAACUCAUUUACAAAUGUUUUUAUCUUGACACUCUUUAAUUUCUUACCUAGGGAAUGAGUAGCCUGUGAAUUUUAGGGGCACUGAGAAAUCCAAUAAGGGAUGCUCUGUAAAUGAUGAUACUUCUUGGCAGCUACAUCUUGACAUUAUCUGUUCAAUUUUAAUAACCUGUCCCUGGCUAAUAACUAUUUCCAUGGGAAUGUCUGUGUGCUUGUGUUGGGACAUGAGCAUGCAAGACGGAAGCAAAGAUGUGAGCUAAAGAAAGAGAGGUAUCAUGAUUACUUUUGAUUAAAGAGGAGAUUUCAAGUAGGUCUGUCUCGGGAUGUUACUAAAACAGGAAACCAAUGAAUAUUCCUUUAUCCUGAAAUCCUAUAAACAGGCAUUAGCAUUAAAUAACUUCCUAACUUGAUCUAGUGAUUGUCAUCAAAUUUCUUCUAAGGAUCAAAUUAAUACAAUGUGGCUUAAAUAGCAUUGACCUUUAAAUACUGUUAAAUCCCAUUGCUAUCCUUCAUUUUCCCUUUUGAGUUUACAUUUUUAAGUGGCAUUAAAGCUACAUAUACUUAGAAAUAUUUUUAUCUUUUUUUCUUUUACUAACCAAGGACAAAUAUAACAAAACAGUACUAAAAAGUAAAGAAUGAAAGGUUUGGGGCAUUUUAAGAGCCAGGGACAAUAGAUGGUAGAGAGAUACAGGGGUGCAAGAAUAGUCUACAUCACUAAAGAUAAGAUAGGCUGUGAGUACACAGCAAAACUGAAUUGUGUAUUGUAGAAAACACAGACUUUCAGAGCUGGAGUAGAUUGAAGUUCAGAUGCUGCCUACACAAAACUAGAACCCAUACUCACCUAUAUGCACAACUGAUUAAGACUUAACUUUGUGCCACAUUUCAGCAUGUUAAUCCCAGACCUCCCAGCAUCCUGGAAACAUUGCUGUAAUCAUUUUUACAGCAUCCUGUUUGUGGAGUUAGGUUACAAAUAUUAUGGGUCCUGUUAUACAAUUGAAAAGUUGAGUUGAAGGGAGGUUAUGCAGUUUGCUCACGGUUGGAAAUUGGUAAUUGAGAUCAAGUGCAAACUGGAAUAGACCCAGAAAGAGUUCCUCCCAGGAUAUCUUAGAGGUGUCACUCCAAAAUCCUUUCAGGGAUUUAUAUAUGCUAUUCCCCAGGGCAGUGAAUUCAAAAGUGCUAAUGGGCAUCUUCUAUGAGGCAAUUGUAUAAGUAGGUUUUUUUUCUUUUGAGAACAGGUACUCGCUGUUACUUUAGAUUCUUCUACAUUUUCGGAGGGGUAGAAUUAAUGACUGAUUAGUCUAACACUGCAUACAGCUCACAUUUAAAGUCAUAGACACCACUUUGCAAUACAGAUUUCUACAACUUGGCAAUGCUUCCUGAAGAAGUUUAUUAUAAUGCAAGGAAAUUUCGGGGCUUUCUGAUGCCCACUGUCUAGGUUAUAGUUUCUUUUCAUUCAAAAGGAAACUUGAGAGGAAACAUUAAAAUACACUCACAGUACACUGUGGACAAGUUUGGGCUUGAAAACCUUCAUAAUGUUGUCCUUAUUCUGUGGUUAUCUUCAUCACCAAGUAAAUCUCAAGAGCUUCAUAUAAAUGGAUUUAAAACAUUUUUGUGGUUUCUCAUACUUCAACUUUCUUCCUCACUGGCAGUCCAGUGAAUCUACAGGAAGUGAAGGAAAGGGAAAGAAAACCUGAAAUUGUGUAGUUACUCACAUAGGUGAGGCCCAUGUCUCUGACCGGGGCCAAACAUGCCACUUUGGAGAGUAGACAUUUUCAAGGGUGAAAAGAAGAUUAGAAAUUAGCCUGAGAUUUCUGAUCCAGUCAUUUGCAAUGUCAGUCAUACUAUUUUCUAAGUUUUAAAGCUAUUUUUAGAUGUGUCUAAAAUGUUGACAGUCCCAACAAGUUCUCUGGAUAAUAUAUGGCAAAUUUUACUAUUUUAUCAAAAAGAUGGCAGAUAUUUUAUUCCCUGAACCAAAAAUGUAUAUUCUUUUUAAAAUACAUUGCUGAUUUGUGUGUUUACACUAUUACUCAUAUGAUAAAUAAUCAACAAUAAUAAUUUUAUUAUUUUUAAGCACACACAAUAUGUAUACAUAAAAAAUCUUGUUUAAUAAUUCUAACAAAUCUUGAAUGUAAACAUUAUUACUAUUAUUUUGCCUAUGAGAAUAAGAAUAGUCUAACUCCUGUUUUACAGUUAACACACUGACAGAAUUGCCUAACACCAAAGCAUGGGGUUAAAAUUAAAAUAAAAAGAAGGAAAUCGAGCUGUUAUCCAUACACUUCUCCAUACAAUUAAUCUGGAGAGAUGAAAGUAAUUAUUAUUAGUUUGUUAAGAUAAUCUAUACAAUAGGGUAGAACUAUUAGGCCCAAUUUUCUGAUGAAGGCUGAGGUUCACAAAAUUGUAAAUUAUUGACAUGAAUUUUUUGAUAUUGAGUAAGUAUUAAGUAGCAGAAUCAGGACUGUGUAACUUCUCACAAUGUGUCUUUCCUUAUUGCUUAAAAUUAAACAAAGAGAAAAUCAUGUCAUUCUGAUUCUAAUCAAUAUAAUCAAGGCAGAAUUUCUAUAGGAUGUACUGCUUUUAUUCCAAUAGUUAGUUAGUAUAAAACUACCCAAUUUGUGUAUGCCAGUUUGGGGAUAUUCAAAUGCCCUUGGAGAGAAUUGUGCAAUAGAAAUACAGGUAAUGGGCCAGCAGGGUCUGAUAUGAAGUAGCAGUAUUUACUUUGUAUUGAAUUUUGGAAAGGUUUUUUGCAUCCUAAAUUUAAGGACUUUGAAAGUUUAGAAUUAGAAUAACCUCUUGAACUAAAAUCUGACUACAAUAUUCCUCCAGGUUCCAUUACAAAUUCAGAGUCAUCUUACUCUGGGGAUUCUUCAUUCCCUUGACUGGCCAGUGAAUUUCUUCUGCAUCCUCUCACCUGCAGGUGGGUCAGUGGAACAGCUGAAUAUCUCCAUGCAUUAGUUUUCCCAAGGUCAUGCCAUCUGACCUGAGUCCAAGGCUUCUGAGAAGAAAGCCCAUAGCAAAAGGACAGAAACUGUGAGGAAAUCUGGAACGAUUGUGAAAAUGAGCAGAUUCUCCUAGUGAAGAUAUCAGUGACUCACCAUCCUAAAAAGAGAGCCUCUAGCAAGAAGUGUGAAGAAUUGAGACUUUAGACAAAAUGGAGUAACAUAACUUACUCAAAGUCUUCAAACAAGGAAUUGUUAGGGUUUUGCCCACAUCUACUGAUA